AGCACGUCUGGGGUGAAAUGGAACGACAUCUACGUCGUUUACCAAAUCAGCCAGUGCCAUUGGCUGAUUUAGGCUAGGCUUUAACCAACAUCUGGAACAACAUCCCUCAAGCAUUUCUUAACACUUUAGUGGCAUCAAUGAGGCGCCGUUGUCAAGCAUGCGUGAAUGCAAAUGAUAGUCACACGCGUUAUUAACUUUGUUAACUCAAGUUCGAAUACCAGUAUCUUUCGAGUGUGUUGAAAUUCACGCUUCCACUGUCGUCAGGGGAGGUGCGGUUAUCAUCUCCGCACAGCCAAUCAGAAUCGCGGAAGAAUUGUCCGCCAUUACCUCCGUCAAAACUUAUGAUGACGGAGGUUUUGAGGUACAGAUGUUUUAGCCUGAUUACUUCGAGUUCUCAUAAAAUUGGUGGAAUUGUGUGCAUCGGGGAAAUGCAACAGUGAUUCACGUUACCCAGAAAGGAUACUAGAAGUGAUGUUUAUCCCAUUUCCAAACCCAAAAUCACAUAAAGAUUAAUAAGGCGUGUGGUAGGCCCCACAGUAUAGUAAGAGCAGAAUGGACCGGCACACAAAAUUCAUUGGAUAUACUUGUAACAGCAGCACAAGUCAGAGAAUUUACAAGACCAGUUUACAACAUCAGAAAAUGCCUUUCAUCAACAGAGAAUACUUAAUCAUCACCUGCAACUCCAGUUAUCAAUGGAAGCCCAAGAUUAACCCCACCAACCGGCCUCCCCUUUUGACAUUAACAGUACUCUAUAGCAAGAGAGAAAAAAACCAGGGUUGUUUUUAUAUUAUAUCAAUUUGAGAUAUGCCACAUUUUGUACUUUGUUAGAGUUUUUUUUAUACAUCUGAGCAAAUUCCCCAGUGUGUAAAAAAAAGGAGGGACAUAACAAAUAUGACAAAACAAUCGCAGUUGUUAUUAACACUGAUGAGGCUGAGACAUAAUUUUGAAAUCAAGGACUUGACAUCAAGAUUUUGUAUUUCAACACAAGUAUCAGUGAUGUAUUCUGUGCCUGAAUUGACCUUAUGUUGUGUUAGGUUGUGUUUCAAUAUAGUCCUAUAGGAAUGAUAUUAACAACAUGACAACUGAAUAAAAGCUCAGUUCCCAACAACGAUCGCUAUCAUUGAUUGUGCAGAAAGGAAAUCACAGAAACCAUCUUCUUUAAAACUGCAGUUACAAAUUAUACAUUCUGACUACAGAUCAGCUACAACCUAAAGGGGACUUGUGGAUUGUGAUCCUUUAGGGGACACAAUGGAAACUAGCUGUAUGCUAAUUUGUGUUAUCUUGGAUAAAUAAAGGCUAUUAUUAUUAUCA